rnacentral:lncRNA from 1 species
GCCCUGGUAGGGGUUCAUGGGGGCUAAGCCCCCGACGGAAAACGGUUUUCAGUGUUUUAGCUGCAAAAUUUUAUGUACAAAAGUAUUAAAUUUACUGGUUAUUUAAUCAUGAUAAUUAUAAUAUACAUGAUGAAAAGUUCGAAGAAUUAUGAAUAAUGUACCAUAACAUCCGACUGGUGAAUUAAAUGACGCAGUGCAAUCCGUAAUAAAAAAAAAAAUUACAAUAUGCAUUGCCCAGCGUAGAUCAGCGUAUCCCUUUAAUUAAGCAGUACACCCUGUUUGGUAUUUACAUAUCUAUUCUGUUCUGAUUGAU